rnacentral:rRNA from 1 species
GUGUCAGUAGCCGCGGUAAUACCGGCAGUCCGAGUGAUGGUCGAUCUUAUUGGGCCCUAAAGCGUCCGUAGCUGGCUGAACAGUCCGUUGGGAAGUCUGUCCGCUUAACGGGCAGGCGUCCAGCGGAAACUGUUCAGCUUGGGACCGGAAGACCUGAGGGGUACGUCUGGGGUAGGAGUGAAAUCCUGUAAUCCUGGACGGACCGCCGGUGGCGAAAGCGCCUCAGGAGAACGGAUCCGACAGUGAGGGACGAAAGCUAGGGUCUCGAACCGGCUUAGAUACCCUCGUAGUCC